rnacentral:sRNA from 1 species
AGUCGGCGAUUUCCGGGUUUAUUUCGGGCCUCUUCAAGAGGAAUGAUGCGAUGGCCCGUUAUCUGCUUAAUCUUACGAUGAAUUCCUUUGCAAAACUCGCAGAGAGGUUCGAAACAAUCCCUACACCAAUGUUUCGCAGCCGAUGUCUUUCCCUCCCUUUUACACGGCGUACAUACCUGCGUCUCGCUGUUCAACGGAACUCCCUCCGCAAGGGAUGUUAUUAGACUAUUAUCCGGAAGUUGUCCUGUCCAAGUCUCUGGAUUAGACUCGGGAACGGAAAUGGAAGUCGGGAUGUGGCAAAUUGGACAUGUGAAUUUCCCAUCGAGCAGGUCUUUCUUUUCCUUGGACGUGAUGUACGUAUUGAGACAUCCCUCACAGAAAUUGUGAAGACAGUCCAGUUGUUUGGGAUCGCUGUAGUGACGUAAGCAGAGAGGGCACGUGAACACGUCAAUAUCUGGAUCCGGGUCUUUUUUAUUCUUUUUUAAUGACGUCACAGAUCCGUUGUUCAUGUCCAACGCUGCAGCCUUUUUCUAAAAGGCUCCGAUUGUAAAAAAGGAAAUGGCUUUCGAACCUGUUUAGAACAGAACUUCCAUAGCUUCAAUUAACCUUGAGAUAUUUUGCAAUUUCUCCUUUAAGACAAUUCAGUAAUGAAAACUGCAAGCAUGUGUAUUUCGUUGUCCAAACUGGAACCGUGAAUACACAAAAAAAAAAGUUGGGGCACGUACUUAUUAUGUCGGGGGCAAUCUUACUUAAAUGAAUACCUUUAAAUACAAUUAAUGGUUAAAAAAAAAGCACUGUCCGCUAUUUUUGUGAAUAAUUUAUGGUUUUUAAUCCAAAUAAACCUUAUAUUUAUCGAU